UACGGAGGGUGCAAGCGUUAUCCGGAUUUACUGGGUUUAAAGGGUGUGUAGGCGGGCUUUUAAGUCAGUGGUGAAAUCUCCGGGCUCAACCUGGAAACUGCCAUUGAUACUAUUAGUCUUGAAUUUUGUUGAGGUAGGCGGAAUAAGUCAUGUAGCGGUGAAAUGCAUAGAUAUGACUUAGAACACCAAUUGCGAAGGCAGCUUGGCUAAACAAAUAUUGACGCUGAGGCACGAAAGCGUGGGGAUCAAACAGGA
rnacentral:rRNA from 1 species